rnacentral:rRNA from 1 species
AUUGAACGCUGGCGGCAGGCCUAGCACAUGCAAGUCGAGCGGAUGAAGGGAGCUUGCUCCUGGAUUCAGCGGCGGACAGGUGAGUAAUGCCUAGGAAUCUGCCUGGUAGUGGGGGAUAACGUCCGGAAACGGGCGCUAAUACCGCAUACGUCCUGAGGGAGAAAGUGGGGGAUCUUCGGACCUCACGCUAUCAGAUGAGCCUAGGUCGGAUUAGCUAGUUGGUGGGGUAAAGGCCUACCAAGGCGACGAUCCGUAACUGGUCUGAGAGGAUGAUCAGUCACACUGGAACUGAGACACGGUCCAGACUCCUACGGGAGGCAGCAGUGGGGAAUAUUGGACAAUGGGCGAAAGCCUGAUCCAGCCAUGCCGCGUGUGUGAAGAAGGUCUUCGGAUUGUAAAGCACUUUAAGUUGGGAGGAAGGGCAGUAAGUUAAUACCUUGCUGUUUUGACGUUACCAACAGAAUAAGCACCGGCUAACUUCGUG